GUGAUAUUUAGUUGCGUACAUUUAUAGGUUUCAGUGUAACAAUAGUAAUAAACAAUAUGUAACUGCAGAUUUUAAUGCAUGGCAAAUACCAUGCAAAAACUUUCAUGAACAUUUUUGAUACAUCAUUGAAAAUAAUGAAUCAUAUGUAAUGUAUUAAUUCUUUGACAUGAACAGUUUGAACUGAUUAAUGGAAAAGAAUCAAACACACUACAGUUCAAUAGACUGGAGUCAGAAGUUCCUUAUGUUCACCUAGGCUGCAUUUAUUUGAUUAAAAAUAACUGCAAUAUUGUGGAAUUUCAUUACAAUUUCAAAUACCUUUUUUUUUUUUCACUUUUUAAAAUGCAUGUUUUUUCCAGUGAUGCAAAGCAGAAUUUUAGCAGCCAUUACUUUAGUCUUAAGUGUCAUAUGUGUGUGUGUGUGUGUGUGUGUGUGUGUGUGUGUGUGUGUGUGUGUGUGUGUGUGUGUGUGUUUUUGGAAGACAAGCAAGGAAAAAAUAACAAGUUAAUCUAAAUUAGUCUAAUGACUUAUGGUCUUUAAGAAACUUAAUGGCCAAGUAGACGGGUUUUGUAUUAAUUGUGUAAUUAUUGUGAUUAAUUGAUAAUUGUAUUAAUUGUGUGAUUAUGUGAUGUAUAAUGCAGCUUUUGCAACAGCUCUUGAGAAAUCAAAAACACAGCGGUAAAGAAAUUAACAUUGUGUUUAAUAUACAAUGGAGCUCCCUAAUUGGUUAGUAAGUGAAACUCUCAUCAAGUCAAUAAAACUGUGCAAAGCAUAAAGUAAGAAUUAGUUCAAACUUGUCAUACUUGUCCAUUGCUGCAGAGACAGGAAAGGAUACGGAGCCUCCUAACUUCUUUUCACAGGCAAGAAACCUUUCAGUCUGACAGGAAACAAAGCUUUAUCUCAGCAGGACUGUUAAUUCAGCACUAAAAGUCUUCCAUGCUGACUGGGGAAAACAGCAGUGAAAGCAGCCACUUCAAUACCUGUCUCAUAUUCUGUGAAUUUCCAACCAAGCUUCCUGUCUACCAACUGCUGCUUACACCUCAAUGUGAGAAUAACAGUGCAAAAGAACCUGUUGCAAAGAGAGCCAAUGCAAAUAAGCAGCCCACUCCAUCAUGGAAAACAAAGACUGAUGUUGCCAUGUUCCACAGGCUCUGAGAUUCCUGCCUGCACAGGAACCUGGACCACAGAUAAGACCAAAUGAGGCACACACUCCCAUGAGUAUCUUAAUUUUUAUUUUUAUUUUCUUUCUUCAUAGCACAUAAACAUUAUAAACUUUAAUAAUAAUAAUAAAAUAAUAAUAAAUGUUUUUGGAGCAGCAAAUCAGAAUAUUAGAAUGAUUUCUGAAGGACCAUGUGACUAGAGUAAUGAUGCUAAAAAUUCAGCUUUGAUUGUUCCUAAUAAACUGUUUAACUACACUUGUAAGUGAAUUUCAAGUUAUUUUGUGUGAUGCUGUUUACAUAUUAUUGUAGCCCAGUUUGUGCUGAAUACAGUGUUUUCAGACUUUAGCCUUUAAUAUGUUUAUAAGCAACUGAAAAAUUAAAAAAUUUCUUCAGGCCCCCAAAACACCCUCAGACCCCAGAGGGUUAAUACAUUUAUUAAUAAAUGAAAGUGUCUGAGUUUAACUAGGUCAUAUUUCUGAAAGUCAGGUGUAGAAAUAUUUCCUUAAAUUAUAACACAACCAUACAUUGUUUAUAACAAUCUACUGUACAAUAGGUUCAAAAGGUGCUGGAUGACAGAAAUAACCCAUUCAUGCUCACACACACCUGGAAACCCACACUUUCCAUGAACACAGUCUUGUCUUUCUCUUUAUAGCCCAGAAUAUCUAUUUAGAGGCAAAUUAAUGCAGCUGUUGUGAGCCGAUUCUCCCAGAGCCAAGGAAAAAUAAUGGCUUUCCUCAACACUUAUUUUGCUUUUGUCUAGUAGGACCAGCUGUGCAGGAAGUCCUCCUUACAUCUAAAGUGAACUGUGAAUGAACAGCAUGAAUUUAUGUGUUCUGACACAAAGCAAUUACCAGCUAUUGUGUUGAAUUAUGAAUAGGACAGUGUAUUAAUUUUCUAUGGGCAUUGAUUACUUAUGAAUUGUUGAUUGAUUGCUUCCAUAUUCCAGUGAGAAUCAAACAAUUAAUGGCAUGUAAUCACAAAAUUUGACUUGAACAUAUUUGCUUUCUUUAGUAUUUAAAGGGAAAAAAUGAAAAUUGUUAUAAUUGUCAAAACGCUGGACUUUUGAUAGUACCUAGGAUAGCAAAGUCCACUAAAGGAGGUAGAGCUUUUUCGCAUUUGGCUCCCAAACUCUGGAAUAGCCUUCCUGAUAAUGUUCGGGGUUCAGACACACUUCCUCUGUUUAAAUCUAGAUUAAAAACACACCUCUUUGGCCAAGCAUUCAAAUAAUGCAUCUCAUAAUUUUGGCCUGCAGUUAUAUCUGAUCAAAUGCACAUUAUUAUUCUUUAGCUUGGGUUAAACUAAUUCAUUUUACUUGGCUGGAACAGCAGCUACGCUAAUUAUGUCUCUAUUUGUUUCUCUGUUUUGCCACGGGAUUUACAUCCCGUGGUAACUAGGAUUUACACCCCGUGGUAACUAGGAUUUACAUCCCGUGGUAACUAGGAUUUACACAAGCUCCAGUCUGGAUCCAGAACACCUGAGAAGAGAUGAUGCCAACCCCUCAGAGGACCUCAGAUGAUGCUAACCCAGAGACAACAUACAGAACUACCACAUUUUGCUAUAAGUUUGAUUGCAUAAUUGCUGUUAAUAGUGUUAAUCGUCUGUUUGUUUACGUUUUUUAUUGAUUUUUCUGAACAUUUCUGCUGUAUGCACAUAAACUGACAGUCAUCACUGAUAAGCUACUACUAAAUAUUGUAGAAACUUAAUUUUCUGUAAAGUUGCUUUGCAAUGAUUUGUAUCGUAAAAGUGCUAUACAAAUAAACUUGAAUUUAAUUGAAUUUAAUAAUUUGGUCACGAUCAUGUUGCUCCAAACCCAUAAGAGUUUUGUAUCUUCAAAACACAAAUUAAGAUUAUUUAACGAAACCUGAGAGGUUCUAUAGUUACUAUAUGUGAUAUGUAAUAUUUAUGUAAUCAGUAAUCAGCCUUUCACUGAUAUUCACUUAUUUUCUUUUAUUUCCUUUCUUCUUCUUCUUGGCUAGAUGAAGCUUGAUGAGGUGUGGUGUUGGUCUUGUACUUUGGGCUGCCAUUUUAAGUGUUGGAGAUUUGAGUCCAUAAUUUAGGUGAAUUAUACCAACUGGAAGGUUAGUAAGGAUUACCAGUGACCCCUACCAUCUGCAAAUUUAUAGUAAAUUGCUACCUAUGUAUCAUCUUCACAGUCAGCCAACCUCUGUGAAUUGCUUGGCGGGGGGCAUGGAAUGACCCAUAGUGAUCCCAAAUUUUGAAGCAAAUUUGCACUGGUAUCUGAGCAACCUUUUGCAUCUGGAUAUAUUGCAAAAAGAGAAGGUUCUUGUCAUGUUUCUUUCUUUCUUUUUUUUCACACAAUGUAUUACAAAAACAAAUGUGAUGUCAGCAAAGUAAACUUCAAGUAAAAUAUUGGCGUUUUGGAUCCAAGUUACACUUCUUACUUGAGUUCCACAGGUGUGAAUAUUCUAAUCCCAUCAACAUCUAUAUUUAAUGCAAAGAUCUGAAAAUUGACAAUAUAAUAUAUACAUAUGGCGUUUUGCCUGGUAUUUGCUUUAUGUUGUCACAUUUCAAAGUGUGAAAUUCUGCAUUUUCAUUUCUCUCUGUACUGACCAUUAAAAAAAAAAAAAAUGUAGAUGUAGUCAUGUUGUAGUGAGAUCUUUAUUGUGGCAAUAGUAAGGCAUAGUUUGUCACAUAUGCAAACACUUUAGACACUUUUUGUCACAUAUGCAAACACUUUAGCAUGGCAUUUUUAAGCAACCAUAUAAACACAUACUAAUUGAAAAUAACCACUUCAGGAAGCAGUGCAUUAAUUAGUGUAAUCAUUUUUGGAUUUACAUAACCUCUUAAUUAGGUGUUUUAUAAAAAUGCGUUAUUCCGCUAUUAGCAGAUUUAUGCUUUGCAUCUUGGAGCUACAAUAUUCCUUCAGGCAUAUUUCACUAAUGAAUCUCCAUUGUGAGUGGAACAGUCAGUAAUGGACCACAUUGUACUAUCUUCAGACGAGAUCCACUUAAAUUCACAUUACAUAUUAUCAAAUGUUAAAGUAUACCCUGCAAUCCGCACAGGGAUUCACAUGUUUCCACUAACCAAGUGAUGAUUUCAAACCAGACCUACCCUAUCAUGCCAUGAUAAAAAAAGAAAAAAAGAAAACAUUAAAGCAACAAUGAAAAUUUUCAAAUUAAGAAGAUAAUUAAAUACGUAAAUAAGUGUAAAUAUUAAAUAAGUGUCAGGUGAGAUUUACAACCACCUUUGAAAGUAGCCCAAAGCGGAUGUCAAAAAAUAAAUGUGUAAAAGCGCCCUACGUCACCCCAACAGACUAAAAACACAGGUUCAAUCAGCAGGUAAUAUCUCCCAAGCCUCUUUUUCAGUUUGACCUAAGUCAGGCUGACAUCCUCACCUCCUAUCAGUAGUCUAUUUCUGGAAGAGUGUAAUUCAUGCUGACACUGCUGCUCCUGGGGAAUGGAAGCUCCCUUCCUGCUGCUUGGGUCGCAGUAGCUCAUAGUACUCUAGUGCUUCUCUCAAAAAAACAAAAAAAAAAAAACAUUUCCCUUUACGGAAUAUUAUAAUAUGCAGAACUUUCUUUCUGAUCUUAUUGGCAUAUCAGAAGUAUAGAAAGACAGUAAUCACUUCAAAACAUUAAUAUGCGUAAAUGCAUAUAAUAUAAGCCUUAUUGAUGAAACAGAUGAGAAAAAAGCCAAAAACAAUUGUACUUUUAGUUUAAAAUGAACCUUGUCCCUUCAUACUCUUCCAUUUUAAAUAUUUCCUCUUAUAUAGCCCGGGAACAUUUCAAAUCUUGCGUAACGAUAACUGAUUUUCCAUUACAUACGCAGGGCAAUGGCAGAUGCAAUGUCAAAUUCAAUAAAUCAUGCGUGGAUUGCGCUCCGAGUGUGCAGUGAAUUAUUGUGUUCCUAACUGUCUUGAGACUUA
ensembl:lncRNA